rnacentral:rRNA from 1 species
AUUCCUACGGGGGGCAGCAGUGGGGGAUAUUGCACAAUGGGGGGAACCCUGAUGCAGCGACGCCGCGUGGGUGAAGGAGCGUUUCGGCGCGUAAAGCCCUAUCGGCAGGGAAGAAGGAGGACGGUACCUGACUAAGAAGCCCCGGCUAACAACGUGCCAGCAGCCGCGGCAAUACGUAGGGGGCAAGCGUUAUCCGGAUUUACUGGGUGUAAAGGGGGUGCAGACGGCAGCGCAAGCCAGGAGUGAAAGCCCGGGGCCCAACCCCGGGACUGCACUUGGAACUGCGCGGCUGGGG